UACGGGGGGGGCAAGCGUUGUUCGGAAUUACUGGGCGUAAAGGGCUCGUAGGCGGCCAACUAAGUCGGACGUGAAAUCCCCAGGCUCAACCUGGGAACUGCGUCUGAUACUGGAUGGCUUGAAUCCGGGAGAGGGAUGCAGAAUUCCAGGUGUAGCGGUGAAAUGCGUAGAUAUCAGGAGGAACACCUGCGGUGUAGACGGCUUACUGGACCAUAACUGACGCUGAGGCACGAAAGCGUGGGUAGCAAACAGG
rnacentral:rRNA from 1 species